UACGUAGGUGGCAAGCGUUGUCCGGAAUUAUUGGGCGUAAAGCGCGCGCAGGCGGUCCUUUAAGUCUGAUGUGAAAGCCCUGGGCUCAACCUGGGAAUGGCAUUGGAAACUGGCGACCUAGAGUGCGGUAGAGGGUAGUGGAAUUCCCGGUGUAGCAGUGAAAUGCGUAGAGAUCGGGAGGAACAUCCGUGGCGAAGGCGACUACCUGGACCAGCACUGACACUGAGGCACGAAAACGUGGGGAGCAAACAGG
rnacentral:rRNA from 1 species